rnacentral:rRNA from 1 species
GAUGAACGCUGGCGGCGUGCCUAAUACAUGCAAGUCGAGCGAACGGACGAGAAGCUUGCUUCUCUGAUGUUAGCGGCGGACGGGUGAGUAACACGUGGAUAACCUACCUAUAAGACUGGGAUAACUUCGGGAAACCGGAGCUAAUACCGGAUAAUAUUUUGAACCGCAUGGUUCAAAAGUAAAAGACGGUCUUGCUGUCACUUAUAGAUGGAUCCGCGCUGCAUUAGCUAGUUGGUAAGGUAACGGCUUACCAAGGCAACGAUGCAUAGCCGACCUGAGAGGGUGAUCGGCCACACUGGAACUGAGACACGGUCCAGACUCCUACGGGAGGCAGCAGUAGGGAAUCUUCCGCAAUGGGCGAAAGCCUGACGGAGCAACGCCGCGUGAGUGAUGAAGGUCUUCGGAUCGUAAAACUCUGUUAUUAGGGAAGAACAUAUGUGUAAGUAACUGUGCACAUCUUGAUGGUACCUAAUCAGAAAGCCACGGCUAACUACGUG